rnacentral:lncRNA from 1 species
GGAGUUGACAUCCCCCACAACAAGCACAGAAAGGUUCAGUGCAAGGAACCCAAGAGCCAGGACAUCCACCUAAGGCUGUUAGUUCAGCUUCACAGGUUCUGCACAGAGGAACCAACUCCACCUUCAACCAGGUUGUGCGGCAGAGGUCGUUUAUGACUCAUACCAACUGGCCACCCUUGUUUCUUUCCCAGAUGAUCCAAAAGAUAAAACUUCCUCACCAGGAAAACAAAACAAAUGUGGUUGUGGGAACCAUAACAGGUGACCUGCAGGUCCAGGAGGUGCCCAAACUGAGGGUGAGUACAUUGCUGCAUGUCAGCAGCCAGGCCACAACCACAUCCUCAAGGCUACAGACAAGAUCUUCACCUUGGAACAGCUGGCCCUAGACUCCCCGACUGGCUGUAGCACCAUCUUGUUCUCUGAUCCUUACAAGGGCCUAGAGGUGUGAGGACAUUUCUGCAAGGCCCCAGCAGCCCUGAACCACCACAGCAAACCCUUUGUCUGCUCCAAGGGCCGGAAA